GUUGGGAUAUUUGGCUUAUUUCAAUAGGAACUGUUACUGCAAAUAUUCAGCAGGGUAGGGAGCGUUAGAGAAGGCGGCAUAACAGUUGAUGAUUCAGACCGUAUGAUGGCCCCUUCCUUUACUCUUUGCUGUGUAGCAAGCGUCAAUAAUGGGUGUUUGAUUUCUGUGAAGAUCACUCGGCCUAUGGGGAGUAAAACUGCGAUUGUUUCUCUCCAUUAUCGCCACUACACACAUCAUUUUAAAAAAAUCCCUGCGUUCUGCUGCUUGAUUUCCAUGAAUCAAAGUGGUAUGGGGGGGGGGGGGGACUUGAAUGAGUACUGUAAUGUCCAGUGAACGAGCAGCAUUUAAAUUUAAAAGCAUAACUACCCUAGUCAAAAAACUCAUGAUCCUCCGAACAGAAUGAAGUCACAAGUCAUAUACCGAAGCCUCGUGGUUAGGGGAAUUUGAAAUCAAAAGUUCACUUUUGGGGCAAUUCUAGCCAGUUAAGUACUGUAAUAGAGUUACAAAAAUUCACGAGGUAGUCCUUUAACAUCAAAACUGAAGUCUUGAACGCCAAGAUAGUAUGAGGGAAUUGAGCAACAUGUGUAAUGGCUCUCUGAUCAAGCUUUUGUCCCACAGAGGGCGGAAAAAAAUAACUAGGCGCGUGUUUUUCAGAAAUUUAGGUACAGAACACUAUGUUUAAAAAAACAAGGAGUGCUGAUGAAAAUCUUCAGACUGUAAGGCCUGAUACAGCAAUUCAAAUGUAAGAAGCUUCAGAGAAGAAUACACUCUGGUCAAUAUGUCACAAGCACUGUCUUCCUCACCAUCAGCAGUAUCUAAAUGAGGCAAUGACUCAAAAAGGCAACAUCAAAGAUCCCCAUCAUCUGAGUCAUGCAUUCCUUGCAGCUACCGUUAUGCAGCAGGUGCAGAAGCCUGAACACCUACAUGCCAGGUUCAAGAACAGCUACUUCUUUCCAACUAUUUGGUUCUUGGACCAACCAGUAAAGCUGAAUCACUAUCACUAGAGUACAGCAACAUUUGACCAUUUUAUUCACUUUGCAAUAAAAUUGAUUCUUUUUGUUCUA